UUUAUGAAGCACAUCUUCGGAGAAAAUAGAAAAGCAGUAUCUCUUCUGCGUUUGUUCAUAACUUGCUAGUACAUGACGAUUAUAUGAGACAAUUUGACCAGGAAAAACAUGGCACGCAAGAGGCUCGCAAAAUUCACAGUUGUCUUGCUUGAGAGCUUAGCGGGGACUGGUCAUAGGCGGGUAAUGGUUAGAAUGAGAGAAGCUGACAAAGCAGAGCGCAUCAUGAAGGAUCCAUUUGUUGGACAAGAUGUACUUUACAAAGAAAUAAAGAAACUACGGAGCGUAAGAGUACCAAGGAGGACGUGAGAGAGUGUAAUGCUGCCAAGGACAAAAAAGAAUGUGGAUGUUGUGAUUGUCAGGGACAAAACAGAGUUUUUGUGGGCGAAAGAUAUCUGGUGAAUAGAUAUGGUCACAGAAAACAUGUUGGUUUCAUAUUCAUUUAUUACUGCAUAUGAGCUGGACAAUAUAUGGCCAAUAGCCUGCUAUUUAUGGGAGAACACUGGCUGUGUGUGUGUAAGUGUGUGUAGUUUUGAAUUAUUUUGUAUUGUUAGAGAUAAUAAACAAAUAUUUAAAUGAU